UUUCAUGAGAGUUUGAUCCUGGCUCAGGACGAACGCUGGCGGCGUGCCUAAUACAUGCAAGUCGAACGAACGGAGACGAAAGC
rnacentral:rRNA from 1 species